CACAAAUGGGUGGAAACUUCUAUCUGUAGAUAUUCUGCCACAAUCAACAUUUUGGGGUUAAAGCCUAGGAAACAAUAGAAUUCGGGAGGGUGGGGGGUGGGACACUGUUUCUUCAUUGGAAGCUGUCUCAGUAUUACCUCAAUCUCAUUUAUUUUCAGUUUCGGGUGUUGAUCUUGGUUGAUCCCCCAAAACAAUCCUGAAGGACAAGUCACAUGCUCCCCUUUCAGAGACGGGAAGCUGAGCCUCAGAGAAGUUCAAUGCUUUGAUGGGGAUUUGCACGAAGUACCUUGUGGAGACGGGGAUGGAACUCAAGUCUUUCUCACUCCGGAACCAGGACAGACAUCCUCUGCCCCCUCCAUCCCUUCCUUGCUUCUUCUUUGCUUCUGUCCCUCUUGUCACCAUCAGAUUGAUGCUAGGCUCUGAAGAUAGGGCAUUCGUAGGGCACGGGGCCUGGGCGCAAGGAAAUCAGGGUCUGAUGGAAGAGAAACAGCCGAAUAGGCUGUCGUGGACGGCAGCUGCGGCAGGGGUGUGUUCUCAUGUCAGUCCUCAGAGGAAGGAACACCUACCUGUCUGGGGAUUCAGAUGUACUUCCUUCUGA
rnacentral:lncRNA from 1 species